GAUGAACGCUGGCGGCGUGCCUAAUACAUGCAAGUCGAGCGAACAGAUGAGGAGCUUGCUCCUCUGACGUUAGCGGCGGACGGGUGAGUAACACGUGGAUAACCUACCUAUAAGACUGGGAUAACUUCGGGAAACCGGAGCUAAUACCGGAUAAUAUAUUGAACCGCAUGGUUCAAUAGUGAAAGACGGUUUUGCUGUCACUUAUAGAUGGAUCCGCGCCGCAUUAGCUAGUUGGUAAGGUAACGGCUUACCAAGGCAACGAUGCGUAGCCGACCUGAGAGGGUGAUCGGCCACACUGGACCUGGGGCACGGUCCAGACUCCUACGGGACGCAGCAGUAGGGAAUCUUCCGCAAUGGGCGAAAGCCUGGCGGAGCAGCGCCGCGUUAGUGAUGGAGAUCCUCGGAUCGUGAAACUCUGUUAUUAGGGAAGAACAAAUGUGUAAGUAACUAUGCACGUCUUGACGGUACCUAAUCAGAAAGCCACGGCUAACUACGUG
rnacentral:rRNA from 1 species